GGCAAAGUAUGGCAGGCCCUCUGUGUGUCCAUACCACUGUCAACAGAGGUCUUGUGCUUGGACAGCCACUCGCGCUUGGGGCUUUAUAAGGAGAUGAUGGCGUGACAAACAACGUUUAUGGCGACAACUGUAGCUGAAACGGACAGAAACAGCCACUCCCGACGACUGGUCGUUGGAGAACAUCUCGAGGAAGACUUUUCUUGGAAUAGGUAGCGAGGUGUCUAGACGGCACGCUGAUCAAUUCGCGAUCGCCGGGCUCUGCCGCGCGUGCGAUGACAACACGAUAUGUUUGAUGACACCACGGCCCCCCCCCCACCCACUCCGUUUCAUCUGCAGUCAAUUCGCGCACGGGACCGGCUGCACCAUCGCAGGUACUGGCAUCAUUCCAGCUCGUAAAAAAAACCGCACAAUUUAUUCCUGUGCAUGCUCAGCUUCGCCAGCGCUGAAAGAUCAAAGGGACGGCGCAGAUUAAAGUUUGCUCUCUAUUGCCUGUAAGUGGUUCUGGUGCGGCUCACUCAUUUACAAACUGUAAAUCAUGUUUACAGAAACGCUCAGAAGAAAAAAAAACACACCUAACGAUGGGGGAGCGCGUGUCUGUGGUCUUGCUUUUUAAAUAUACCACACUUGUAUUUACAACAACAAAUGGAUAUCCACAAGAUGUAUGCACUGCUGUGUUGAACUUCUUUCACACCGUACGUAGCCAACCGUGCUAAUCGGAGGUACGGGGCAAGGACAAUGGUCAGAGGACCUGACUAGGACUGCUGUUGCCUGUAUCACUGCCGCUUGGAUAACAGACACAAUUCAGAUGGCCUUACGCCUUGAAAGCACCGAGCCUAUGAGAGACAUUGUUAGAGCAUCACAGAUCGAGUUGUGUCUCGUCCGUAUUGCACAUUGGGGGCCGUCCAUAAAUGACGUCACGCGAUUUUGGACGAUUUUUGACCCCCCCCCCCCCCCCUUCGUCACACGACGUCACAAAAAGUCAGACCCCGCCCCACUCAAUUAUGACGUCACAAAGCUCUGCCACCCCCACCAAAUAAAACAUGCUUCAAAUCGCUUUAAACUAUUGUCAUUGUAGUGCGUAUUUAAUGUGGCGCUGCACUCUGAUGUUGUAGGAGAAAACAUUUAUUAAAAAGUCUAUUUAAUUAAGCAAAACG